GACGAUUAAGUCAACUCUUAACCUAAUCGGGUCAAACCCAACUGAAUCCAAUUCAAUUGGACUUGAUCCAAAAAUAAUUACUCAAUCAAAUUGAGUUAAUUAGCGAUCAAAUCACUAAUUAAAUCUCUCAUAAAUAUUGAGUCCAAAUUCGAUGGGCAAUCAGGCAUCAGAAUUCAUCGAUAUGUAACCUUGAUCGAAAAGUCCCAACCAGUGG
rnacentral:lncRNA from 1 species